rnacentral:rRNA from 1 species
AGUUUGAUCAUGGCUCAGAGUGAACGCUGGCGGCAGGCCUAACACAUGCAAGUCGAGCGGCAGCGCGGGGGCAACCCUGGCGGCGAGCGGCGGACGGGUGAGGAAUACAUCGGAAUCUGCCUUGUUGUGGGGGAUAACGUAGGGAAACUUACGCUAAUACCGCAUGAGACCGUAAGGUGAAAGUGGGGGAUCGCAAGACCUCACGCGACAAGAUGAGUCGAUGUCGGAUUAGCUAGUUGGUGAGGUAAAGGCUCACCAAGGCAACGAUCCGUAGCUGGUCUGAGAGGAUGAUCAGCCACACUGGGACUGAGACACGGCCCAGACUCCUACGGGAGGCAGCAGUGGGAAAUAUUGGACAAUGGGCGCAAGCCUGAUCCAGCCAUGCCGCGUGUGUGAAGAAGGCCUUCGGGUUGUAAAGCACUUUUGUUGGGAAAGAAAUCCUGUCGAUUAAUACUCGGCGGGGAUGACGGUACCCAAAGAAUAAGCACCGGCUAACUUCGUG